UACGUAGGGUGCGAGCGUUGUCCGGAAUUACUGGGCGUAAAGGGUCUGUAGGUGGCCAACUAAGUCAGACGUGAAAUCCCUCAGCUUAACUGGGGAACUGCGUCUGAUACUGGAUGGCUUGAGUUCGGGAGAGGGAUGCGGAAUUCCAGGUGUAGCGGUGAAAUGCGUAGAUAUCAGGAGGAACACCAGCGGCGAAGGCGGCGCUCUGGGCCGGUACUGACACUGAGGAGCGAAAGCGUGGGUAGCAAACAGG
rnacentral:rRNA from 1 species